UACGAGGGGGGCAAGCGUUGUUCGGAAUUAUUGGGCGUAAAGGGUGCGUAGGCGGUUUGACAAGUCAUCUGUGAAAUCUAUGGGCUCAACCCAUAGUCUGCAGGCGAAACUGUCGGGCUUGAGUAUGGGAGAGGUGAGUGGAAUUUCCGGUGUAGCGGUGAAAUGCGUAGAUAUCGGAAGGAACACCUGUGGCGAAAGCGGCUCACUGGACCAUAACUGACGCUGAGGCACGAAAGCUAGGGGAGCAAACAGG
rnacentral:rRNA from 1 species